rnacentral:rRNA from 1 species
UGGGGAAUUUUGCGCAAUGGGCGAAAGCCUGACGCAGCAACGCCGCGUGGAGGAUGAAGGCCUUCGGGUCGUAAACUCCUGUCGGGCGGAACGAAACGCCUGAGGGUGAACAAUCCUCGGGCUUGACGGUACCGCCAGAGGAAGCACCGGCCAACUCUGUG